UCAGUUAGUUUUUAAACUUCACCCCCUUCAGUUUUAAUGUUGGUCCACACUGCUACAUGGCGGUAAUGCACCUUCACGUUGUUGCCAUUAAAUGGAAAAGAAGAAGAGUUUGUGUAUUGCACCUGUUUGGUUGGCAAGCUAGCUAAAGUAGUUUUGGUAGUAUUGAAAUAAACGAACAUUGGAAGAAGUUUUCAACAUUGCCGAUGUAAAGGGAAAGUUUUGGAGAUGAGGAGACACAACUCUCCCGUAGUCAUAUUGGUGAAGCUGAGACGAAGAUGUUGGACUUCUACAAUGCCAUAAAAUAAGGCGGAUGAAUACAACUCUACAAACUCUCGGCUGCUGUCCGUUCAGCUCCUCACUCUGCCUACAGGGCAGUCCUGGAAGGAUGGUAGACAACCGCGCCGAUAAGAAUUGGGCUGACGUUACGUGCUGGUCUUAUCCUGGACACAAUGUGAUGUAAAAUGGUUUAAUGUUUGUAGAAACCAAAAGGCAUUACUCUACACCAGGGGUGCCCAAAAGGUCGAUCGCGAGUGUAGUGCGGGUAGAUCGCGCACCGUUAAAAAAAGUUUUUUGUUUUUAUCUUGCCUUGCGCAUUCACCUCCUCCACUCUGUUUCGCUCCCGCACACACCAGUCAGAGACAGAGCGGGGGAAAGGAGAGGAGCGAACUACGCACCAGGAUAAUCUUAAUAAAGACAUUAUGUCAUGGCGAAGAAUUUUCUGAUCUUGUAGUUUGAGUGUGUUUGCGAGUUGAGGGACGAGCAGGAAAUCUGUGAACAAUUUAUUUCCAGGGAAAACUGUUGACAGCUAAUUUUGUGAGUUAUCCUGAAUUAUCAGGACAUUGAAAAAUAAAUUGCUGUAGAGUUUUUUUAAAUGUAAGCUUUCAAUGCUUUAAGUA